rnacentral:lncRNA from 10 species
GUUGGUUUCACUCCUGAGCACAAGUAAUUCUCCCAACUUGGCCUCCCAAAGUGCUGCAAUUACAAGUGUGAGCCACCAUGCCCAGCUGUGUACUUUAGCAAUUCUAAAAACAUUUUUUUUCAUAUUCUAAGUGACACACUUAUUGCUGAAAUUGGAAUGUGUCAUUUGACCAACAACGUAUCAUAGUUUAACUGGCAACAUUUUUCUUUUCAGACGUGUGUAAAGUGUUGUUACUUCUUAUAACCAACACUAUUUUAGAUUCAAAAAUAUAGUAAGUUAUUUUGUAAUUAUUAGUUGAGGCAACAUAGUGAAAAACAAACUAAAACAUAUUAAAAUAUAAAAACUAAAAUAUUUGGCCAGGUGUGGUGGCUCACGCCUGUAAUCCCAGCACUUUGGGAAGCUGAAGCAGAUGGAUCACGAGGUCAGGAGUUCGAGACCAGUCUGGCCAACAUAGUGAAACCCCGUUUCUACUAAAAAAAUACAAAAAUUAGCAGGGCAUGGUGGCGCACACCUGUAGUCCCAGCUACUUGGGAGGCUGAGGCAGAAGAAUCACUUGAACCUGGGAGGCUGAGGCUGUGGUGAGCCAAGAUCAUGCCACUGCACUCCAGCCUGAGCAACAGAAUGAGCAGAAUGAGACUCCGUCUCAAAAAAAAAAAAAAAAAAAAACCUAAAAUAUUUAAAAGUGCUUUAUUUUAAAAGUUUCCAAAUGGAACACAAAAUUAUUUGAAGUGUCCUUUAAAGUUAUUGCUAAAAUCAGCUAAACCUACAAGUAGAAUUGAACUUACAAGUUAAACUCAAAAACUUAAUGAUAAAGUAAGAAUUUGAAUUGGUAACUUAAAGAAACCCAACAUUAAUUUUGGAAAUAAAAGAGAAUAUCUAAAAAGUAUUUUGUGUCUAUGAAAGUCACCCUUCUAGUCAGCUGAAAUUGCUCAAUUGGGAGAGCAUUAGACUAAAAUGUCACCCUUAAGUUCAACAAAAAGAUAAAAUACAAUUCAGAAGGCAAAAGUAGUAAGAAUAAAGGCAAAGAGUUACAAAAUAGCCUGACAUCUUCAAAAAACUGGGGUGUAGAAUGCAUGUGGGGAGAAAUAGUAAAUCAGUUAGAGAAGGUGGUGGAAGGUAGACAAGAAAGAAAUCUUAUGCUAAGCGCUUUCGAAAUUCCUCACAAUCAAUAGGACGUCUGAUUCAAUGUUGAUAGAAAUAUUGGGUGAGCAUCGUUGUGUUGUUCUUCAAGGGGGAAACAUGCUGUCUUUCACUGGUAGAAAUUGAACAAAAGCAUUCUUUGCUAUUAUACCUGGGUUGUUCUUCACUGUUCCCUGGGAAUCUGUUACGGAAAUUAUGCUGAGCUAAUAAUUCUGAUGGGAUGAUCUUCACUCAUGCAGACUGUGGCGUCAUGUAGAAGGAAGGCUAAUAUGGAUGUGAGGUUCAAGAUCAAGAUGGGCAACUGAUGGUCAGACUCCAGUGGUUCUUCAAAACUUUCUAGGAGGUAAACAAGAUGAAAGGGAAAGCACACAAAUUUGCUGGAAUUUGGAAAACACGAACCCUGGAAUUUGGAGGAGUCACUUCCACUGGAAAAUACUUUUAUAUUAUUUAUAGUGGCUACCAUUACCGUGCUCACUUUACAGGUGAGGUUCAGAGAUUUAUGUAACAUGCCAAAGGUCACACAGCUGGACACAGCAGAACCAAGAUUCAAAUCUGCACAGUAAAUGAAACCAGCCCAGCUGCGUGCUCACCUGAAACUUAUUUUCUCCUUCACGUUCCAAACUCAUGACUUGCUUGUGGCAGAAAAAAAGAACUACUUCGGGGUCCGCAACCCCUGGCAGUGGACCGGUACCAGCCCAUGGCCAGUUAGGAUCUGGGUAACACAGCAGCAGGGCCAUUUCAGUCCAAGGAGGAAUGGGACGCAUAGGUGACCACCAAAUAGUGAAGAAUAUGAAAAUCCAUGGUCAUCCCAGAAAAGAUGAGAAAAACUGAGGCUCAGAGAUGCAAAGUAGUUUUUCUAAGUAUUGGACUCAAAAGUCUUCAUUCUUUCUGCCACAAAAUGCUGCCUUAUAGCUGUCACAGCUAUGGGUAUACCACAGCACUGUGAAAUGGGAGAUUCCCUGAUCCCCCUGGCGGGAUGUGUGACAGGAGUAUGGCUCGCCUGUUCAGUUGCUGACACUGCUCAAAGCCCUGAUGGGAGGCGGGGCAUGCAGAUGGAUAGAUACAGGAGCUCAGGAUUGUUUUCUUCCAUCUGUGCAAAGUUCUACUUCCAUAGGGCAGGCCUUGUGCUGACCCAUGGAGGGCAUUGGAGAGGAAUCUUACUUGGUUUUUCUUGUAAAUUGGUAAGUCUUCUCCCUAUUCCUAUUCAAGGUCUAUAAGAGUAACUCUCAGAGGAGAGACUUGCAGUCAGACCUCCUAUUCCCCAAUGUUUUGAUGGUGGUGGUUCUCUGUUGCUUCUCUUAAAGGUCAAAAUCAUUAGCCUGAAGGUCUUACAUUUGGGGCAAGAAAGACUAAACCACCUGACUUAUUUUUGUCACAACUCAAAGGAAAGAUGGGAAUAUGGGUGAGAAGGACUGAUAUUCCCCAGGCAGAACUUUACAAGAACAGAAGGAAAUGUUUUCUUCAGAUGAUAAUCCAAGGAUGUGGUGAGCCCAGACAUGAGGGUAGUUGAGAAAGCAUGCCAGAGACUGUGCUGAAUGCAUUUGGAUUGCACAGGUUUGCCAGAUCCCAAAGCUAAUUAGGACUAGGCAGAAAGAGGCUCAGCACUCCACAGCCUGGCUAGUUCCCUUAAGGUAAUGCUUUUUUGAAGUCUGAGAAUAUCCCAUUGUUU